rnacentral:lncRNA from 1 species
AUUUGUGCUCUCUAUUGGCAGCACUACUGAAUUCUUCAUUGUUGGCCUCUAUUGACUGAAAACAGUGGAUCGCUGCUGCCUCAUUAAUAUGCAUGAUGUCAUCAAAAAUAUCAGAAUGAAAAGUAUUGGUAUCGUAUCGUAUCCCGCAAAUAUCACAAUAUAUUGGAAAAUCGAUAUAUUGUCACACGCCUACAUGUAACCCUCGCCAUGGUUACACCAGAAACUCUACAAACAGUUGAUCCUGGAGCGUCAGAGGCCACGGUGAUGGAAAGUAAAGGCUAGUCUGUACACCCAUACUGUACAGCCAAUGGGUCUGUGAAAGGUCAAAUACACACUAAUGCGAAGGUUUUUUGUUUGUUUUCUACAUAAAAAGUUUCAUAAUGCCCCUUUAAAGGCUGACCUGUAACAUUUAUUGGUUUAGAACAGUUUUAUAUUUAUACCAAGUUAAUGCCAGAGUUACAGAUGUAAAACACGUUUAAACAUGAGGUAAAGAGUUUAUUUUUAUUUUAGUCCAAAGUAAAAUAAGAGUGUCAAAAGACCAAUAUUCUGUAAAAAAACACAAAAAGACCAAAAUGACCUUGAACUACUGUAACCUUUGGUCCACAGAAGCAGCAUACACAAGUACCAGCACCCAGGGGCGUCUCCUGGGGGGUGGAAGCUGACCCUACACCGGGCUGAGCCGGUAUAGCUAUCCAAUGAAAUAUUGGCAAGUAUGGGACAUGGCUACUAUAAACAGGCGCACAAUUAUUUAUGAAAGUUUACCAGAAGACUGAAAUUGAAGUGAUCAAUUCUCAAUUAAAAUGUCAUGAGCUGAAGCUUGAGGUAAGGAGAGCACUUCGUAAGACUUGUGUAGAAUUAUUAAACUUGAAUUAAAAGGACCAUGUCUGGGGAUGUGUGCCUGGGCCGCACUUUGGACACCCUGAUGUAAACCAAUGGGACUUUACAAGUGUCAAAACAACUUAAAGUGGUUUUCCUUCUGUUCUAGUAUCAUUUUUUUUUACCACAAUGGUUUUUGUUCUCUAGAUUGUAAAGUUGUAGCUUUGGGCUUUGAUUGACGGGCCCUGUGAGAACUGUGGUUGCCGGUCCGCCCAAAACGUAUUAAAAGUUGAUCAAACCCAGACCCAUUUAUGUGAUCUGUUAAGGCGAGACACGGCAGGUGAAAGUAUUGAUUUUUCACGCAGUGGUCGAAGUGGAGAUUUUUAUCUAUUUUCCUCCCUUUACAUCUUAGUUUUCAUGUCAGAG